CCUCAGUAACGGCGAGUGAAGCGGCAACAGCUCAAAUUUGAAAUCUGGCGCCCCCGGGCGUCCGAGUUGUAAUUUGCAGAGGAUGCUUCGGUAUCGGCGCUGCUCCAGGUUCUUUGGAACAGGACGCCACAGAGGGUGAGAGCCCCGUCUCUGGGCAGCAGUCGAUACCAUGUGAAGCGCCUUCGACGAGUCGAGUUGUUUGGGAAUGCAGCUCAAAAUGGGAGGUAAAUUUCUUCCAAGGCUAAAUACAGGCCGGAGACCGAUAGCGCACAAGUAGAGUGAUCGAAAGAUGAAAAGUACUUUGGAAAGAGAGUCAAACAGCGCGUGAAAUUGUUGAAAGGGAAGCGCUUGCAGUCAGACUUGGCCGCCCGGUUCGGCGGGGUCUCGCACCCCGUCUACGCCGUGGCGAUCAGGCCAGCAUCGGUUCGGACGACUGGAUAAAGGCCGCGGGAACGUAGCUCUCUUCGGGGAGUGUUAUAGCCCGCGGCACAAUACGGCCAGUCCGGACCGAGGAACGCGCAUCUGCUCGGAUGCUGGCGUAAUGGCUGCAAGCGGCCCGUCUUGAAACACGGACCAAGGAGUCUAACAUCUGUGCGAGUGUUUGGGUGUCAAGCCCUUGCGCGUAAUGAAAGUGAACGGAGGUGGGAGCCCUCGGGCGCACCAUCGACCGAUCCUGAUGUCUUCGGAAGGAUUUGAGUAAGAGCACAGCUGUUGGGACCCGAAAGAUGGUGAACUAUGCCUAAGCAGGGUGAAGCCAGAGGAAACUCUGGUGGAGGCUCGCAGCGGUUCUGACGUGCAAAUCGAUCGUCAAAUUUGGGUAUAGGGGCGAAAGAC
rnacentral:rRNA from 1 species